rnacentral:rRNA from 1 species
UGAGCAAUCUGCCCUUCUCAUCGGAAUAAGCGUUGGAAACGACGUCUAAUGCCGAAUACGACCUCCUUUCGCAUGAUCGGAGGUGGAAAGCUCCGGCGGAGAAGGAUGAGCUCGCGGCCUAUCAGCUUGUUGGUGAGGUAAUAGCUCACCAAGGCGACGACGGGUAGCCGGCCUGAGAGGGCGUCCGGCCACACUGGGACUGAGACACGGCCCAGACUCCUAGGGAGG